rnacentral:lncRNA from 1 species
CCUCACAUUUCUUCUCCAAAAAUUUUUUUAAAAAAAGGAUAUACAUGGGACACACACACAAUUCACGGAGAGCUCACCAUUUUUUUUAUACACACACAGACGAAAAAAAAAAAAGAGCUGAGGCACAUAUACACAGACCUCCAUUUAUUUUAUUUUCCUUGCUCUCACCAUGAACCCGCAGAUUACACAUAAAACCCUUCAUGGAUGAACAUUUCAACAUAGCUUGAUGUUCCAUUAACACCAAAAAAAGAAAAAAAAUUAAAGAUGGCAACACACACUCACAUACUCUCCACCCAUCAUCACUCUCACAUCCCACCCAUCCACCACGGAGGCACACAAAGAGAGCUAGAGAGAAAACACACACUACACGGAGAGAUUCGAGAAUGCUACAGAAAAACUGUGAGAGAAAGAAGUAGAAAAAAACUGUAGGAAGGAACGAAAUUUUAGAUCGCCAGUCACUGUUCCGGCAAUCUACUCACCGAAAAAAAUCCACCCACAACUCGCCGGAAUCCAACCAAUUUUAGUCAGUUUCUUUCACUGUUAGCUCACCAAAGUCUAUUUGUCGAGGUUCUCAGUUCUCCGUCGAGAAUUGGGUUUGAGUUUCGUCGUUGUUGUUUGAAAUGGGUCGGUCAAUUUUGUUCAAGUUAGUUCGAGUUUUGGGUUAUUGAAGUCGGGAGUUCGUUGUUGGGGAAUUUUUGUUCAAGGUAUUCUGGCGCCGCUCCGUCAAACAUUUCAAUUGAAAUAAUACGUCAAAUUUGAGGUCCAUUUUCAAUCUUUGCUUUUUACUUAUUAUUUCAUUGUUCAUAAUAGUCCGUGUUAUGGUUUGGACGUUGUCUAUUGUUUGAGCUUUGUUGAUGGUGAAUAAUUUCUUGGUUUUUAUUCAUUGAUUGAUUUCGUUGAUUAUGAAUUGUAUGAUAAAAUGGUAUUUCGCAUUUGAGAAUUAAAAUUAAUUGUUUGGGGAUGAGUGGAACGAGAACUGACACUUGAUAAAAAUGUUAAUUUUGGUUGGUUUGAUUCAUGAGUUAUUGUUUGACUUGAAAUGAACGUUAAUCAAACUCGAUAGUAUCAUAAUAUGUUGAAAUGGAUAGGGAAACAUAGGUUGGGUAGGCAAAGUUUAGAAUUUGUGGUUUUGUUGAAUGGUUUGGUUUUGUCGUAUUGAAAAGAUGUAUUUAUUUUACCGAGGGAUGCCUCAGGACCUUUUGUGCUUAUUUACUGGGG